rnacentral:rRNA from 1 species
UACGUAGGGUGCAAGCGUUGUCCGGGAUCAUUGGGCGUAAAGAGCGUGUAGGCGGCCCGGCAAGUCCGCUGUAAAAGUCAAAGGCUCAACCUUUGAAUGUCAGUGGAUACUGCCGGGCUAGAGUCCGGAAGAGGCGAGUGGAACUCCUGGUGUAGCGGUGGAAUGCGCAGAUAUCAGGAAGAACACCAGCGGCGAAGGCAGCUGGCUGGGACGGUACUGACGCUGAGACGCGAAAGCGUGGGGAGCGAGCCGG